rnacentral:tRNA from 1 species
GGGAUCAUAACUCAGUGGUAGAGUGUGUGCCUUACAAGCACGAAGUCGGGAGUUCGAUCCUCUCUGCUCCCA